GACAGAGGGGCAAGCGUUGCUCGGAAUUACUGGGCGUAAAGGGCGCGUAGGCGGAAUGGCAAGUCGGUCGUGAAAUCUCUCGGCUCAACCGAGAAACGUCGGCUGAUACUGCCGUUCUUGAGGGAUGCAGAGGAGACUGGAAUUCCCGGUGUAGCGGUGAAAUGCGUAGAGAUCGGGAGGAACACCAGUGGCGAAGGCGACUACCUGGCCUGUUCUUGACGCUGAGGCGCGAAAGCUAGGGGAGCAACGGGG
rnacentral:rRNA from 1 species